rnacentral:rRNA from 1 species
AGUGAACGCUGGCGGUAGGCCUAACACAUGCCAGUCGAACGGCAGCACAGUAAGAGCUUGCUCUUACGGGUGGCGAGUGGCGGACGGGUGAGGAAUACAUCGGAAUCUACUUUUUCGUGGGGGAUACCGUAGGGAAACUUACGCUAAUACCGCAUACGACCUACGGGUGAAAGCAGGGGAUCUUCGGACCUUGCGCGAUUGAAUGAGCCGAUGUCGGAUUAGCUAGUUGGCGGGGUAAAGGCCCACCAAGGCGACGAUCCGUAGCUGGUCUGAGAGGAUGAUCAGCCACACUGGAACUGAGACACGGUCCAGACUCCUACGGGAGGCAGCAGUGGGGAAUAUUGGACAAUGGGCGCAAGCCUGAUCCAGCCAUACCGCGUGGGUGAAGAAGGCCUUCGGGUUGUAAAGCCCUUUUGUUGGGAAAGAAAAGCAGCAGGUUAAUACCCCGCUGUUCUGACGGUACCCAAAGAAUAAGCACCGGCUAACUUCGUG